rnacentral:miRNA from 13 species
CUUUUGAGAUGCCUGUUCCGGGCAUCAGCUCCCUCUGCAGAGGCUGGGGAGCCGGACAGCUCCCCUCCCAGGCUCUGCGGUGGGAAGUGAUGCCUGGAACGCUUCCU